rnacentral:rRNA from 1 species
UGGGGAAUUGUUCGCAAUGGGCGCAAGCCUGACGACGCAACGCCGCGUGGAGGAUGAAGACCUUCGGGUCGUAAACUCCUUUCGACCGAGAUGAAUUCCUGCCGACCUAACACGUCGGCGGGGUGACAGUAUCGAGGGAAGCAGCCCCGGCUAACUCCGUGCCAGCAGCCGCGGUAAUACGGGGGGGGCAAGCGUUGUUCGGAAUUACUGGGCGUAAAGGGUUAGUAGGUGGCCAACUAAGUCAGACGUGAAAUCCCUCAGCUUAACUGGGGAACUGCGUCUGAGACUGAUCGGCUCGAGGACAGGAGAGGAACGCGGAAUUCCAGGUGUAGCGGUGAAAUGCGUAGAUAUCUGGAGGAACACCGGUGGCGAAGGCGGCGUUCUGGACUGUUUCUGACACUGAAAAACGAAAGCCAGGGGAGCAAACGGGAUUAGAUACCCGCGUAGUCC